UGCACACGUUUAUUGGGAAANCUUGAUUGC
rnacentral:piRNA from 1 species